GACGAACGCUGGCGGCGUGCUUAACACAUGCAAGUCGAACGAAGUGGCGAACGGGUGAGUAACGCGUAAUCAACCUGCCCUUCCGAGGGGGACAACAGUUGGAAACGACUGCUAAUACCGCAUACUGAAGGAGGGGAUUGCGUCUGAUUAGCUAGUUGGAGGGGUAACGGCCCACCAAGGCGAUGAUUAGUAGCCGGUGUGGGGGGAUGGACGGCCAAAAUGGGAAUGGGGACCGGGCCAGACUCCUAAGGGAGGCAGCAGUGGGGAAAUUUUCGGAAUGGAAGAAAGGCUGACCGAGGAAAGGCGGGGGGGGGAUGAAGGGCUUCGGGUUGUAAAGCUCUGUUAAUCGGGAAGCGGUACCGGAAUAGAAAGCCACGGCUAACUACGUGCCAGCAGCCGCGGUAAUUC
rnacentral:rRNA from 1 species